CAGCGCCACGAGUGGCAUACAUGUUUAUUGGGCCUAAAGCGUCCGUAGCUGGUCUUGUAAAUAUUUUGUGAAAUCAUAGGGCUUAACUCUAUGGCGUGCAGAAGACACUACUUGGCUUGGAACCGGGAGGAGUCAGAGGUAUUCUGGGGGGAGCGGUAAAAUGUUAUAAUCCCCGGAGGACCACCUGUGGCGAAGGCGUCUGACUAGAACGGAUUCGACAGUGAGGGACGAAGGCCAGGGGAGCGAACCGGAUUAGAUACCCGAGUAGUCC
rnacentral:rRNA from 1 species